rfam:Callithrix jacchus chromosome 5, whole genome shotgun sequence
GGUAGGUGUGGUGGAGCAUACCUGCAGUCCAGCCACUCAGGAGGCUGAGGCAGGAGGAUCACUGGAGCCCAGGAGUUCUGGGCUGCAGUGUGCUAUGCUGAUCAGGUAUUCACACUAAGUUAGGCAUCAAGAUGGGGGCCAUCUGGGAGCAGGGGACCACCAGGUUGACUAAGAAGGAGUGAACCGUCCCUUCUGGAAACGGAGCAGGACAAAACUCCCGUGCUGAUCAGCAGUGGGAUCAAUCACACCUGUGAAUAGCCACUGAACUCCAGCCUGGCCAACACAGUGAGACCUCAUCUCUG